UACGAAGGGGGCUAGCGUUGCUCGGAAUCACUGGGCGUAAAGCGCACGUAGGCGGAUUGCUAAGUCAGGGGUGAAAUCCUGGAGCUCAACUCCAGAACUGCCUUUGAUACUGGUGAUCUUGAGUCCGGGAGAGGUGAGUGGAAUUGCGGGUGUAGCGGUGAAAUGCGUAGAUAUCCGCAGGAACAUCCGAGGCGAAAGCGGCUCGCUGGAUCACAACUGACGCUGAGGGACGAAAGCUAGGGGAGCAAACAGG
rnacentral:rRNA from 1 species